CGGCCUUUGGCGGCAGGCUAACACAUGCAGUCGAGCGCGAAAGUUCCUUCGGGAGCGAGUAGAGCGGCGGACGGGUGAGUAACGCGUGGGAAAUUGCCCAGUAGUGGGGGACAACAACCGGAAACGGUUGCUAAUACCGCAUACGCCCUACGGGGGAAAGCGGGGGAUCUUCGGACCUCGUGCUAUUGGAUAUGCCCGCGUCGGAUUAGCUUGUUGGUGAGGUAACGGCUCACCAAGGCGACGAUCCGUAGCUGGUCUGAGAGGAUGAUCAGCCACACUGGGACUGAGACACGGCCCAGACUCCUACGGGAGGCAGCAGUGGGGAAUAUUGCACAAUGGGCGCAAGCCUGAUGCAGCCAUGCCGCGUGUGUGAAGAAGGCCUUCGGGUUGUAAAGCACUUUCAGUAGGGAGGAAGGCCCUAAAGUUAAUACCUUUGGGGAUUGACGUUACCUACAGAAGAAGCACCGGCUAACUCCGUGCCAGCAGCCGCGGUAAU
rnacentral:rRNA from 1 species